GAUUCCUUCAAAAUGGCCUGUGUGUGUCAAGAAAAGCAGCAAAAAUAAGUUUCCUCGUCGUUUCGUAAUAUUUUUGGCUAAAAAAGAUAUGAAAGGAAUAAGAUGCCGUCUUACUGCGUACAGAAGUGUUCCAAUUCAUGGAAAACAGGUUAUUCAAUGCAUUAUCUCCCAAAAAAUUUGAAGCAAAAAAGCAAUGGAUUACUAAUAUUGGUAGGGAUGAUUUCGACUUCUCUAAAAUAUAUUUUAUAUGCGAGGUAAGCUUUAUUAAUGACACUCUUUAUAUUCUUAGUUUUUCAUUUAUAUCAUUAACAAACUAUAUUGAUAUGCAAUAGAUACAUUUCUCACCAGAGAUGUGGGAAAAGCCACACAGUCCCAAUAAUGUUCGAAAAUAUAUCAAAUAAAAAUAUAAAUAGUGCCUCUUUAGAUGCAAAUGACAUUGGUUCUGCUUAUUCACAUGAUAUAUACUUGUAAACGCGAUGCGUCGCGUUCCGGAUUGCUCGCCGGUUCAGGUUUGUAGAAGACGGAAUAAAUUUGAAAACAGCCGAUUUAAUAAUUAAACUGAAUCGUAUAUUUAAAAUCAGCUAACGAUAUACAUUAAAUCCGAUGUUGAGUGUCGACGCCGUUGGUUUUUGUCGAUUUGUAUACAAUCUGCCAGAGGCCUUGUUUAGGCGAUGGCUCGCGAGAGGCUAUGCGCGGUGCGCGGAACGCUGACUGUUGUCGCGUUGUGAGUUCGUCUGUUGACGCUCUCAGCUGUUCGCCUCUUUAAUUCCGGUUGACUGUUUUUUUUCUGCUAGUUUGCUGCGGUUCGAUGCAGCCCAGUAUAGGCGGUAUGUCGGUGAUAUUGCAGCUGAGCUGUGUGCGGUGUAUCGCCUCGAUGGCGAUACCUCAGUUACGAUUCCUCUCCUAUCGCGAAGAUUCGGUGCGGCUCAGCAUAUGCUAUGCAGCGGUCCGCCUUGUGUACACGGAACCUUAGCUGGUAGAUUUGUCUUCGUACUUUAACGAGACCGGCUCGUUCUGACAAGAUCAUGGUGCCGCGGACGCGCCUAUGUGUUGCGGUAACGGAAUGAUUGCGAUCUUGUUUGCCGAGAUCGGUUUGCUAGUAUCGCGGAGGUCGAUUCGCAUCCUUGCGGGUCGACGACGUUGUGAUCCUGACGCGGAUCCGGAUAACGCGGUGUCGAAGCUGCGCUGCAACGGAGCGAGGCUUCGAAUAUACGGUGACGAGUUCGCACGCGGCGACUCGAUAGCGGUGUGAUCUCACUUGCGCUAAGGCGAAGCGAGAUCCGGUGAGCGGUGUGAAGGUUGCGUUUAUGCGCCCUUCCGUAAUGCUUUGCCGCCAUCCCAGCCGGUCGCCGCGAGCAACAACCGGCGUAGAAGCGAGCAACUCACACACCGGCGGGAAUUUAUUGUCAGCGAGAAGGAAAUUUCACUAAUUUGAUCGAGAUUGGAAUCUCCGAUCGAUACGAAUCCCUGUUACCUCCGCGUUUCGCGAUUGGAAUUGAUAAGUUUUUGGACCGACAGCAGAAACGCCAACAUGUUGUCUGUACGCGCUAAGAGACUCGAUAGCUAAUAACCAUUAUUAGAAUGUUGCUGCGUUGCCAUAAAAAACGUACAAGAAAAAGCACAAGAAUUGAAAAAAUGUCACAAGUUGGUGGAGAAACUGUUGCAAAAAAUGUAAGAAAUAUAUUGUGGCAAGUAAUUGGCUACGAAGUUGCACAGACAUAUACGUGGACAGCAAAAGAAGAAAUUAUCAAUGAGAAAAUCGAAACUUUCAGACUCAGUAAUUGGUAUUAAUUAUAUACACUUUUUCGAAACUUUCAGACUCAGUAAUUGGUAAUAAUUAUAUGCACUUUUUCUUUAUUACUGAACUCUAUUAAAACGUAUUUAUUAUUUGGAGUAAUUUUAAAAACUGAUUUUCCUAGAAUUUUAUUUUGAAAACGGAGUCCACAUUGACUGCACCGGAAGGUGCUAGGACUGUCAUCCUUGGGUGACAGAGUCCGAUCCGGUAAUAUUUUCUGAAAAUAUGUCAAUGAACGUAUUUGAAUUUCAAAGGAUUUUCCUUUGAAAAUAGAGUUCGCAAAGGCCGCACCGGAGGGUGCUGGGACUGUCAUCCUUGGAUGACAGAGUCCGAUCCGGUAAUACUUUGUGAAAAUAUGUCAAUACUGAGACUAUUUCCUCUUUUGGAAAUAAAAAAAGAAAAUAUUUAGAAAUUCUAGAAUUUCUUGAAAAAUUUUUAUACAAAAUUUCGAUAAACACUUUAUAAAAUUUUCUUUUUCGCUUUCGCUAAACUUCAAACAUAUUUUUAUUUAUUUCAUGUUAAAUAUAAUCACAAUCACUAGUUCUACUACAAAGAGCGUACCUAAUAUACAGAAUGUAGCAUCAAAACACUACAGAGCAAUAAUCAAUUCUACAUUCAGAGCUUACCCAGUGAACACAAACUAAUAUAACAUCAAUAUAACAUAACAUUUAUAAGUAAUAUAACAUCAAUAUGUUAUAAUUUCUCACUCAACGAUGUAACUGUUACAUAACUCUGUUACAUAAACUGUUACAUGUUAUGUAACCGUUACAUUGUUGAUUGAGAAAUUAUAACAUUGAUGUUAUGUUAUUGUUCACUGGGUUACCUUUUGUUUUUGAAUUAUAUUUUCCUAUAUGUGCUUUAAUCAAGAUAGCUUUUAAUGUCAUAAGAUAUUUAUAUAUAGGCUUUAUUAUUACGUUUGUAGCAACUGUUCUGAAGCUACAUAAUACUAUUGCUACAUAUACAAUACGAUCAGCGAAAUCGAAACGUGCAUGCAAGAAUGGUUGCGACGAUCUGGCGAUAGAAUAAGAGCGUUACUGAAAAAAUGAAUAUAUUACUAAUAUAUAUUUAUUACACAUAUGUAUAAGUGGUUAAAUGUAUUUUGAUGUUAUUUGUAUAUGUAUGCAAUAUUUACACGUAUCUAUAAGUAAAUAUAUAUAAUGAAAAAAAUUUCUUCAAGAGCGUUAUAAAAAGAAAUAAAUAUAUUGUAUUAAACAUUGUUAUC